AUUGAACGCUGGCGGCAGGCCUAACACAUGCAAGUCGAGCGAGCGGCGGACGGGCGAGUAAUGUCUGGGAAACUGCCUGAUGGAGGGGGAUAACUACUGGAAACGGUAGCUAAUACCGCAUACCAUCAGAUGUGCCCAGAUGGGUUUAGCUAGUAGGUGGGCUAAUGGCUCACCUAGGCGACGAUCCAUAGCUGGUCUGAGAGGAUGACCGGCCACACUGGAACUGAGACACGGUCCAGACUCCUACGGGAGGCAGCAGGGGGGAAUAUUGCGCAAUGGACGAAAGCCUGAUGGAGCAAUGCCGCGGGAAGGAAGAAGGCCUUCGGGUUGUAAAAUACUUUCGGCGGGGAGGCGUUACCCGAAGAGAAAGCAACGGCUAACUCCGUGCCAGCAGCCGGGGUAAUUC
rnacentral:rRNA from 1 species